AGAACCGACCGAGAAAUGCUUUUCAUGGCCGACUAAACCCUCCCUCGCAAGCGCGAGCGUGUGAGCGCAGAUCUCCCGGUUUGUUCUUCCCAGGUUCGAAGCAAAGCUCAACCCAGAAUGGGAGUCGGUGAGGCAAUGCGUAAUCCUUUGGCCGUCGCCAUCGCAUCGAUCCUUCUCGCCGUGCUCGCACCCCGUUUCCUGAAGAAGAAGGAAACCAUCGCAGGCAUCAAACCCGACGGACCCAUAUUGGUGGAAUCCGCUCCGUCGGCCUCGGGGAACGACUACGAGGUGUUCUUGAGCUUCCGCGGCAGGGACACCCGCACCGGCCUCACCGACUACCUCUACAACAGCCUCGUCGACGCCGGGGUCUCCGUCUUCAGGGACGACGACGAGCUCCGCAUCGGCGAGAAGAUCGGCCCGGAUCUUCUCCGAGCUAUCAAGAGCAGUAAGAUCUCGAUCCCGAUCCUCUCCCCGGAUUACGCUUCCAGCAAAUGGUGCCUUCGCGAGCUGGCCCGGAUGAUCGAGUGCAAGAGAAGUGAAGGGCACGUAGUCUUGCCCAUAUUCUACAAAGUGGAGCCCGGGCACGUGCGACACCAGACGGGGAGUUUCGGGAAGGCCUUUCAUACAAUUAAGAAGCAUCAUGAGGCAGAGGUGGUCCGACAAUGGGAGCGAGCUCUCCAGGAAGUAGGAAGCUUAAAGGGAUGGGAAUCAGAGAGAAUUGCUAACGGACAUGAAGCUGAGUUGGUAAAGAUAAUUGUCAGGAAGGUUUUGGGCGAAUUAAAGGAAGCUUUUCAGUUGGAUGUCACCGAGAACUUGGUCGGGAUUAGUAAUCAUGUAGAGGAGAUUAUGAGAAUGUUAAGUACUGAUGACAGUGAUACUCGAUUUGUUGGAAUCCUUGGAAUAGGCGGUGCUGGUAAGACGACUCUGGCCAAGGUCAUGUACAAUAAACUCUCCAGUCAGUUCGAUCACUGUAGCUUCUUGGCAGAUGUACGAGAAACAUCAAAAGAGAGGGGUGCCCACCAUUUGCAGAACCAACUAAUCUCCGAUAUCCUAAAAGGAAAACACAAUGAUGUCUCCAAUGUCGAUGAAGGACUUAGAAUCAUCAAAACUAGAUUUAGGCAUAAGAAAGUCCUCAUUCUUCUCGAUGAUGUAGAUGAUGUUUAUCAGUUGAACUGUUUGGCUGGAAAACGUGACUGGUUUGCUUCCGGAAGUAAGAUCAUUAUUACGGCAAGAAAACUGACUUUUCUUGAUGAGCCUCGGGUGGACAACUCGUAUGAACUCAACGGAUUGGAUCCUGACAACUCUUUGCUUCUUUUUAGUAGACAUGCAUUCAGAAGGGACUUCCCUUUGCCUGAAUUUGGGGAUCUCUCGCGUGAUAUCGUGUCCACUACAGGAGGGCUUCCUUUAGCACUCGAGGUUAUAGGUUCAUUCUUGUGCGGAAAACGCCUAGCAGUAUGGAAAGAUACGUUGAAGAAGUUAAGGAAAAUACCACAUACGGAAGUGCAAGAGAAGUUAAGGGUAAGUUAUGAAGCAUUGGAUUAUGAGCAAAAACAGAUAUUUUUGGAUAUUGCCUGUUUUUUUGCUGGAACUGACGGAAGAAUUGCAUCCUAUAUGUGGGAUGACUGUGAAUUUUUCCCAGGGAUGGGAAUUGAAGCAUUGAGUUUGAUGUCCCUGAUAAAAGUUGGAAAUGACCAUAGGCUGUUAAUGCAUGACCAACUGAGAGAUCUAGGUAGGGAAAUUGUCCGGCAGGAAAACUAUGACGAGUCCUGGAAACGUAGUAGAUUAUGGAUUCACAAGGAAGCCUUACAUGUUCUAGAGAAGAAUAAGGGAUCUAAAAAGAUAAAAGCCCUCUGUCUUAACCAAAGUGGCUUAGGCAGGGUGUACAGCAAUAAACCAUUUGAAAAGCUACCAAAACUAAGGUUCCUUGAGAUGAAUAAUUUAAUCCUCUCUGGAGAUUUUGAGUAUCUUCUUUCUGAAUUACGAUGGCUCUAUUGGAAAAAUUGUCCGCCAAAUUUUGUGGCAACCAAUUUUCACGCAGAGAAAUUAGUCGUUCUUGACUUAUCAAGGAGCAAAGUCACAGAUCAUUGGGAAGGAUGGAAUCAAAUCAAUGUGGCAAGUAAUCUGAAAGUUCUUAACACUACUAAUUGCCAGGACUUGAAAACAUCUCCUGAUCUCACAGCUUUUAAAAAUCUGGAGAUUUUAAUUCUUGAAAAGUGUGAAUAUCUAACAAAAGUUCACCCUUCUAUUGGAAACAUCAGCACCCUAAUUUCCCUAGAUGUGAGAGACUGUUUCAGACUCAAGGAACUACCAAUAGAAGUGAGUCAGCUACAAGAAUUAGAGGAGCUUUUUAUAGAUAGAACUCGGAUGGAAGAAAUUCACAUGUCUAAAGGUUCAAUGAAGAAGCUCAGGACUCUUAGUGCCAAGUAUUGUGAAUCAUUGGCUCGAAUAUCCAGCUCCUUAAGCCAUCUAGCAUCUCUGUCAACCCUUGAUUUUACGGGAUGCAAAAAGCUUGCUGAACUUCCAGACUCCAUAGGGUGCCUUCAGAAACUGCAGUGCUUAUCAUUAAAGGAAUGCAGCUCAUUGAGAGGGAUCCCCAACUCAAUUGGCAAGUUGGAAUCGUUAAUUGAGCUGGACAUAUCAUACACAAGUUUUACAGAGUUACCUGAAUCCAUUGGAGACUUGUGUAAUUUAGAAGUUCUGCAAAUGGCGCGGUCAAAUGUAAAAAGGUUACCUAGUGCUAUUGGGAUGUUGGGGAAACUCACCGAAUUAGAUGCCACAAAUUGCAAUAUCCUAGGAGGAGAAGUUUGCAGUGAUAUUGGGGAAUUGUCCUCAUUGAGGGCCCUCCGAUUGUUCAAGACAGGCAUUUAUGGCUUGCCAGAAAGCAUCUGUAAGCUUUCUUGUCUCCAAGACCUUGAUUUACGAGGGUGCAACAAGCUUCAAUUUCUGCCAAACCUUCCCUCUGGCUUGAGAACUCUAGGUCUCACUUGUCAGAGUCCUACAUUGCCAGUCCUUUCCAACUUAAUAAAUCUGAAGGAACUUAGUGUCAUGGAGUGCUGUACACUUGAAUGCCUCCAAGAGCUUCCGUCUGAACUGUUGAAGCUUUCUGUUACAGCAUGCCAAAUGCUGAGAAAGUUGCCAGAUUUGUCAAACUUGAAGCAUCUUUCAGUGUUGAGUCUGAAGGUUUGCUCUGAAUUGAGAGAAGUUAAAGGUCUGGAAGGAUUAGUGUCGCUAACAAUGUUGGAUGUGUUGAAGUGCCCAAAGUUAUCUAGGCUUGAUGGGGUAGAAUGUUUGAUGUCUCUGAGGUACUUAAGCAUAGGACCGUCGGAAGCAUUAGAGAGGUUGAUGGAUCGUUUGGAACUGAGUAAUUUAAAGGUGCUUCCAAGUUGCGAGAAUCAAGUUGAAAUUCAAGUUCUUAAUAGCUUCAUUUGCUUGGAAGUUUUGGAUCUCACUGAUUGCAAGUCUAUGGAAAGACUGGACCUUUCAUCUUUGAAGCUUUUAAGGAAAGCAAAUGUUAAGAAAUGCAAGAAUCUAGUUGAAAUUAGAGGCCUUGACAGUUUGGAAUACUUGGAAAGGUUGGAUAUCUCUGAGUGCACAUCCAUUAAGAGACUGGAUAUUGCAAAAUUGAAAUAUCUGAGAUAUUUUUGGGCUUCCAAAUGCAAGAAUUUAUGUGAAGUCCGAGGUCUUGAUGUCUUGGAGUACUUGGAAUGGUUGGACAUCUCUGGGUGCACAUCGAUCGAAACAUUACCAGACCUUUCAUGCUUCAAGACCCUGAAGUUUCUGAACAUCAACCACUGCGAAAAACUACGUGAUAUUCAGACCCUGGAGAAAUUCUCAUCCUGCCAAUGGCUAUAUAUUGAUGGAUGCAAGUCCCUAGAGAAACUGCCAAACCUUUCAAAAUUUGAAGGUUUGAUAGAGUUGAUAGUGAAAGAUUGUCAUGAACUUCUGGAUAUUUCAGAGCUCAAAGAAUUGAGAUCAUUAGAAUUUAUAGAUAUGUCAAGAUGCAAGUCCAUUGAGCAUCUACCAGAUUUGUCAUUGUGCAAGAACCUGAAAUGUUUGGUCGUAAGAGACUGCGAGAAACUUAUUGAGCUUACAGGACUUGGAGACUUGGCCUCGCUGUGGCAAGUGGAUAUUUCUGGAUGCAAGUCACUGACAAUACCAGAAUUACCUGGAACACACAUCAUACAGAAUUAUGAAGAACCUAUGCACCAUCCCUUGUAUGGGACUAUCACUUUCAGCUGAUGGGCUGCAUAUAGUUCUACUGCCAUGUCGAAGUUGAGAAAGUAAAAAGAAGGUGAUCACCGAUGCCCUGUCAAUAGCUAUUUCCUGUCUUUCCUUUGCGGCUACAGAAAGCAAUUUGAUAUCUGUUUCAAGAAGGGAAUUUUCCUUCACGGCUUUUUCUAUUAUCUUUUCUUUCCACUAUAUAUAGUUCAAGCAAUGGAAAGAAGUUGAUGCCCCGGCAAUUGUUCAUUUCUAGAGUGGAACUACUGCACCCAGUUGGAAACCUUCUCUAAGUAGAUUUGAUAUAAUCACGGGUAGACAACUCCAGUUCUUAAUCUUCAACACGAGAUUGAUCAGUGAUGUGCAUGUACAGACACUUUGGAGGUUAACUUGCUUGGAUACCUGAUAUGCCGCGUUUCUUUUACUAACACAGGGAACAGGUGACUAAAGUAGAACAUCUUCUCAUGAAUUUUUAGUUUAUAGAGGCUCUAGUUUGGGAUUGACUACAUAUUGCAGCUUCCUGUGGAAGAAUUUUAAGUGUAGAAGACAUUGCCAAAUGUUGGAACACUUCUCCAGCUUAGAGCUUGCAAAUUCCUCCGAGUUUAUAUGAGAGAUGAAUUUUUGAAGAAUUAAUAUUCCUGGCUAUAUUGAAGUGCAACAAGCAAAGCUUCAUUCGACUUUUACCGAGGAACCAGUGUUUUCUCCUCAAUAUCAUUAAGGAGCUUUCCUCUUUUUCCUUUCGUGAUAAUAUUAUGCCCGAGAAUGUUCCUUGGUUUCAGUAUUGGACCAUUAUGCAAUCAGUUUUGAACGAAGAACUAGACUUCUUUUUCAUUGUGCAAUAACAGUGACACUACUUGCAGGAGCACCCACGCCGGGUGAACCUGUUCUUCGUUAUAUCUCGAUACUUCCUACAUAUCCCAUGUAAAUGAGCAAGGGUUAAAGACAAUUCUAAAU